rnacentral:lncRNA from 1 species
GCGUCUUUAUUCAAUUGUCUCUUCCUCGGUCGCUUCUCCAUGGCAUCGACACCAGCACCCGCACCGCGUGAGGCUCUUCCACGACCGGCAGGAACAGGCAGUACAUGUCGCCGGUCAGCGGCCCUAUGAACGCCGCUUUGCCCUCCCCGAAGUCGACGUCCUCGAGCCCCGGCUUCGCCCACCGUGAUAUCACCAGGCUGGCGUUCAGGUCCGUCUUCGCCGCCUUGUGCUCCAGCGUC